ACCCCUAGAGCAAAAUCAGCAAAACACAUGCAGCUGGGCUCAAGUUAUUGGGAGGCAGUAGAAGGAAAAUGCCUGAUCAGCUGAAAAAUGAAUUCUUACACGACUGGUAGUGCAUAGGUUCAAAAUUAGCUUCAGCUGUCCUAAGCAGUACACCAGGACUAAUUCCUAUUCAACUGUAGCAAGAAUGACACCAUGAAUUCUUACACGACUGGUAGUGCAUAGGUUCAAAAUAUGCUUUGUUUCAAGAAUGACACCAUGGAAAAGUGCCAUCUGGAAUGUGCAUAAUGGUAGUACACGUCAGGACAUCUUGUUCUUGCAGCAAGGCCUUGAACCCAAAUUAAGUCUG
rnacentral:lncRNA from 1 species